rnacentral:rRNA from 1 species
CCUACGGGCGGCUGCAGUGAGGAAUAUUGGGCAAUGGACGAGAGUCUGAACCAGCCAAGUAGCGUGAAGGAUGACUGCCCUAUGGGUUGUAAACUUCUUUUAUAAAGGAAUAAAACGAGGCACGUGUGCCUUUUUGCAUGUACUUUAUGAAUAAGGAUCGGCUAACUCCGUGCCAGCAGCCGCGGUAAUACGGAGGAUCCGAGCGUUAUCCGGAUUUAUUGGGUGUAAAGGGAGCGUAGAUGGGUUGUUAAGUCAGUUGUGAAAGUUUGCGGCUCAACCGUAAAAUUGCAAUUGAUACUGGCAGUCGUGAGUACAGUUGAGGUAGGCGGAAUUCGUGGUGUAGCGGUGAAAUGCUUAGAUAUCACGAAGAACCCCGAUUGCGAAGGCAGCUUACUAAACUGUGACUGACAUUGAUGCUCGAAAGUGUGGGUAUCAAACAGGAUUAGAUACCCCUGUAGUC